UCCCAUUUGUACCUUUUAUCUCUCAGUAAUAAACUUCAACCUUUAUCUAAAUUCCAACUCACUUGAAUGCAAUAUUUUAAGAACCGGACCGGACCGGCCGGUUCAACCGGGAACCGGACACAGCAGCGGUCCGGGCUAGUGCUGAGAACCAGUAGUCUGCAGAACCGGAAAAAAACCGCUUGAAACCGGUACGAACAGUCCG
rnacentral:lncRNA from 1 species